rnacentral:tRNA from 1 species
GCCCGGAUGGUCUAGUGGUAUGCAGCAACUGAACAACUAGUAAUGAAAUGCAUAUAUUAACAGCAAAUUAGGUAUGAUUCCUCGUUCGGGUCGAGGAGGUCCCGCGUUCAAAUCGCGGUUCGGGCC